GCCUGGGUGGCUCAGCCGGUUGAGCGUCCGAUUUUGGCUCAGGUCACGAUUUCAUGGUCCGUGGGUUCGAGCCCCACGUCAGACU
rnacentral:tRNA from 1 species